rnacentral:misc_RNA from 1 species
AAAGUCGUAACAAGGUCUCCGUUGGUGAACCAGCGGAGGGAUCAUUAAAGAGUUGCAAAACUCCCUAAACCAUUGUGAACGAACCCCUGAACAGUUGCUUCGGCAGGCCGGACCUCCCCCGGGAGGGCCGCCCAGCGCCUGCCGAAGGCACCCAAACCAUUGUUUUUACAAGCCUCUCUGAGUUUUUUUACUUAAUAAGUCAAAACUUUCAACAACGGAUCUCUUGGUUCUG